AGGGGUGUAGCUCAGUGGGAGAGGGUGGGCUUAGUAUGUACAAGGCUUUGGGUUCAAUCCCCAGCACCAAGA
rnacentral:tRNA from 1 species